rnacentral:RNase_P_RNA from 3 species
CGCGUAUGUCGGGCAGCUGCCCUCUGUUUUAUACAGGGGGAGGAAAGUCCGGGCACCGUCCCGCUUUUAGCGGGACAGAGAUAACGGCUAACGGCCGCCCAUCCCCGCCUCAAACGGGGUACGAGAUAGUGCCACAGAGACAAUACCGCCCAGCACCUAUUUUUAUUGUGUGUUACGCCGAUGCUUAGCUUGCAAGAGAUAAGCAUCGGCAUCUAAAAAGAUAAAAUACCCCAAACACAAUAAAAAUAGGUGCUGGGUAAGGGUGAAAAGAGUGAGUCCGCCUUUGCGAGACUACAAUCCCGCCUUGGUGGAAUACUCUCGCUCCGGCGAGACAAUGUAAGAGCUCACAGUCGUAUCAGGCAACUGGUACGGGAGGAAAACACUUAUCCGGUGCAACCCCGCUUCGGCGGGGGCUCGACCCCGAGAGCAAUCGAGGGGCUAGACAGAUAGCUACCAUCCAGCACCUACUUUUGGUGGUUCAGUAAAAUGAGCAAUAGUAUGAGGGAGAAAUGUUUCGCUCACCAAAAGUAGGUGCUGGAUACAGAACCCGGCUUAUAGACAGAUGCGUACU